UGCCCAGCAACUCCUAUCCCUACCUCCACGCAGUACCGGCCGGAAACUAUGAGCAACCUUAAGGAAGAUCGGGUACCCAUUCCUGUUAGGAAUUUUGGUCGUAGGCUGACAGGGAAGG
rnacentral:ribozyme from 1 species